UACGUAGGGGGCUAGCGUUGUCCGGAUUUAUUGGGCGUAAAGAGCGUGUAGGCGGCCAUGUAGGUCCGGUGUGAAAACUCGAGGCUUAACCUCGAGAUGUCAUCGGAAACCAUUUGGCUAGAGUCCGGAAGAGGAGAGUGGAAUUCCUGGUGUAGCGGUGAAAUGCGCAGAUAUCAGGAAGAACACCAAUGGCGAAAGCAGCUCUCUGGGACGGUACUGACGCUGAGACGCGGAAGCGUGGGGAGCGAACAGG
rnacentral:rRNA from 1 species